rnacentral:lncRNA from 1 species
CUCCGAGCGGCCCACCAUGCCCAGAUAUAUCAGCGCAGGAUUUACCAGAAAAAGGUCUUGGAGCGCCGCUUUUAAGUAGGAGAUCCGGUUCUGAAGAAGAUUUUUCCCUCUGCUGCACUCGGAAUGGUCCAAACUGGUUCAUCCCUUACUCAAGAAGCACCCCAAAAAGACCAAGAAAAGAGCAAUGGUUGGGAUUUAGGGAGAUAGUGACUUAUCAAGUUCG